AUACGUAGGUGGCUAGCGUUGUCCGGAAUUAUUGGGCGUAAAGCGCGCGCAGGCGGUCCUUUAAGUCUGAUGUGAAAGCCCACGGCUCAACCGUGGAGGGUCAUUGGAAACUGGGGGACUUGAGUGCAGAAGAGGAAAGUGGAAUUCCAAGUGUAGCGGUGAAAUGCGUAGAGAUUUGGAGGAACACCAGUGGCGAAGGCGACUUUCUGGUCUGUAACUGACGCUGAGGCGCGAAAGCGUGGGGAGCAAACAGGAUUAGAUCCCCUGGUAGUCCACGCCGUAAACGAUGAGUGCUAAGUGUUAGGGGGUUUCCGCCCCUUAGUGCUGCAGCUAACGCAUUAAGCACUCCGCCUGGGGAGUACGGUCGCAAGACUGAAACUCAAAGGAAUUGACGGGG
rnacentral:rRNA from 1 species